CUCAGAUUGAACGCUGGCGGCAGGCCUAACACAUGCAAGUCGAGCGGUAGCACAAGAGAGCUUGCUCUCUGGGUGACGAGCGGCGGACGGGUGAGUAAUGUCUGGGAAACUGCCUGAUGGCGGGGGAUAACUAGUGGAAACGGUAGCUAAUACCGCAUAACGUCGCAAGACCAAAGUGGGGGACCUUCGGGCCUCACGCCAUCAGAUGUGCCCAGGUGGGAUUAGCUAGUAGGUGGGGUAACGGCUCACCUAGGCGACGAUCCCUAGCUGGUCUGAGAGGAUGACCAGCCACACUGGAACUGAGACACGGUCCAGACUCCUACGGGAGGCAGCAGUGGGGAAUAUUGCACAAUGGGCGCAAGCCUGAUGCAGCCAUGCCGCGUGUGUGAAGAAGGCCUUCGGG
rnacentral:rRNA from 1 species